CCUGAACUUCCCCAGGCUCCACCUCAGUGGGCACCUGGCUGGAGUUACUCCAGGGACCCCCUCCCACCGGGCUGUCUCAUCUGCACCCUUGGGAUGCGGGGCAAAGAGGGCUGGGAGUCUUCCAGUUCAGCAGGUCAAGUGCCCUCAGUAUGGCACUUUGCCCCACUCUGUGCUGUGGAGCCCCUCUGGCUCCUCCUCUCCAAGAGUUACUGAGACAUAUAUUGCAGCAACAGGUCAGAAUCAAGCUAAACUGACAAGUAAUUUUUAGGAAAAAAGAUCUGAAGGAAGCACUGAAAUUGAAGAAGAAACUCUAAGCCACACAUAAGAAUUUGCUAAUUCAGCCAAGCUCAGAGACCAAAACCCCUUUCUUUCAUGAAGCAUGUUCCUGGAAUUGCAAGGUGAAUUGCUAAAUCAGAACUUUCUAGGAGCAAAUUUUCCACAGCUUGACUUGGAAAUGCAUGUGCUCCCACAGUCACGUGACCCCCUUGGACGACAAACACAGCGACUUUGUGAGCAGUCUGCCGAUGAUAACAUUCCUGCAGCAGCCUUCUGAACAGUCAGGUCAGAGUCUCAGCCAAGAAAAGAGACCAAAACCCCUUUCUUUCAUGAAGCUUUUUCCUGGAAGUGCAAGGUAAAUUGCUAAACCAGAACUUUCUAGGAGGUAAGAUCUUUCCAGUGGCUAGAGGACUGCUGUGGUGGCUGCUGUUCCAUGCCUGCCUGCCACAUACACAGGCUGAGAACAGAUGAGAGCUCAGGCCACAACAAGUAGCCACAGGCACACACUUCUCUGGCUGUACUUCUUCUAGAACAACCGCCAGUCAUGCAUCCAUUCAGCAUGUUUUCCUUGAACAUUAAAUACUAGGCGUGUGUUAGUGCUGAGGUAGACACAAAGAAAGGUAAGGAAUUAUCCUGCCCCCAAGGAGGCUGUGGUCUGAUGAUAUAUCGCAUCAAAUGCAGAUGAAAGAACACAGGCAAGAGGUGAGGGUCCUGACUUGGUGAUUUGGAAGUCACCCAGUGGCUCAGUUUCCCCAUUUAGACAUUGAGGGUUUCAGGCUGGAGGAGAGGCAAUGUUGCUUCUAUGCCAUUUGCUCUUCUCUUGUCACUGUGGGUGCCACUUAAUUUCAUAUAAGCUUCUGUGCUCAGGUCUCUGAAGAAAGCAGAACAAUUCCAUAGGGUGGAACUUGAAAUUCUAGACACAAACUGUAUUUCCAUAGGUCUCACUAAGCUUGGGGCAAAAUGACCAGUUAGAAAUAAUUGGGCUUGGCCAGGUACAGUGGCUCAUGCCUGUAAUCCCAACACUUCGGGAGGCUGAGGUGGGCAGAUCACUUUGAGCUCAGGAGUUCAAGACCAGCCUGGGCAACAUAGUGAAACCCUGUCUCUACUAAAAAUACAAAAAUUAGCUGGGUGUGGUGGUGUGUGCCUGUAAUCCCAGCUACUUGGGAGGCUGAGGCAGGAGAAUCGCUUGAACCCAGGAGGCAGAGGUUGCAGUGAGCCGAGACUGUGCCAUUGCACUCCAGCAUGGGCAACAAGAGCAAAACUCUGUCUCAAAAAAAAAAAAAAAAGAAAGAAAGAAAGAAAAGAAAUCAAAGAAAAGAAAAGAAAAGAAAUAGUGGGGCUCUUGCUCUUUUCCACCUCUCAACUUGGGGCAUCCUUGCUCCUUUCCAAGGAGUCUCUCAGGUACAUCUUGGGACCACAGGUAGAUCUCACAAAUGCUCAUAAUCCCCUGGCUGCCCAGGUCCCUGCACCCCCAUGCCACGCAGGGGCGCUGCAGCCUUCCCAUGGUGUCUGGUAUUGCAGGUGUUCCUUCCUCCCGCAGCUACUGAAGCCGCUAAGACAUCACUGCCUCCUCUCCCAAAGGUACAAUUGCUGCUGCUCCCUGGAGAUGCCCCAGUACUCCCACAGCCUUAGAACAGCUCUAGCUCAUAGCACCUGCUUUGCACAGGACAGGUGCCCAUUUGGUGAACAAAUGAGUUAAUGAAUAAAUGAGUAAAACAAACAUGAGCCCAGAAGACUGGAUAGAGGAAGGCCAUCAACCCGGAAAACAACCACAAUGCCACCACCGGAAAGGCUCAAGGGCCUCAGAGGAUUCUGGGAGAGUGACAGAGGAGGCAAUGGGAAGAACAGAGCUCCACCCAGUUCAUCCCUACACCCAUGGUAAACUCCCAGUAACACACCCAGUAGUGGAGCCAACAUGGAUAAGAGAAAUUUGGCUACACUGUGAAUGGUUCCCAUCCUCAGAGCAGCCCUGCCCUCAAAGGGUGGGAAGAUGUUGUCUUCCUGGGGAGACGGAAAGUUAGGAAGGGUGGGCAUGGAGGCCUUAGGAAGAGAUAGCCUUGAUCAUCUGAAACUUUGAGUUCCUUGUAUAGUCAGUUGUAUAUAAGUUUCACUUUAUUUCUGUGCUUUUUGUGAGAAUACAGACUGAAAAAAUGGUUUUAUCCACUCACAUUAGGACAAUUGAAAUUUUCAGACUUCACUUGCAUGCAUGGCAGGGUUUCACUGUCCAUAUAGUUCUUGCCCCCACCUCUUAAAAGCAUGCCCAAAGCUAAGACACUAUAGAUCUGGGUGACAACAUGCAGCUCCAAGCCUCUCUCGACAAGACCACUGCCCCCUCCCUUUUGUCUCCCCGUCUUACUUUUCUCUUCCACCACAUCUACCAGCCACAGUUUUAUUUUUUUGUAUGUCCCUGCCUCUCCUGCAAGGAGUUAAGGGACUGGGUCACAGUCCUAGAACUGCUGACCUAUAUCUGUGCUAUGAAGAGCAGCAGCUCAUGGCUCAGGCCCUCAGGAAAAGUGACAGCAGUGAUCUUGUGUGUUAACGUCACUGCCUUCCACAUUCAUAGCUUCACAUACUGCAUCAUUCAUUGAAAAAUUAAAAUUCAUCAUCUUUCCCCAGAAUGAGGCUAACAGACUUUAAUUGUAAGAAUCAGGAAAAGCUGUGACAUUUUAAUUAUAACAGUUUUUAAUUAAAGGAGUAUUACCUCAUUUGAUCUGUUAAAGAAAAAUUAUUCAUGAUACUUGUCAAAGAUGGCAAGGUAGGCUUUAUGCAAGGGGUCCAUGGUGAUUGGCAUCAGGUCUUGUAGUGAGGGAAAAAGACUGGACUCAACUCUGGCUCCAAAAAGGAUAAGUAGGGAUUUAUUACAAGGAGCAGGGUGGAGGUCAAUAGAUGGAAAAUUACUAUGAGGAAUUGUCAGGGAUAAGGUGUUUCUGGCUAAAUUGACUUGACAGUUUAUUGCUGAAGGCAAGGGUGGUCAGAUACCAGAGUAGGGGUCUUGGUUAAUUUGGCUUAGCAGGAUUCUUGCUCAAACUGGAUUCUGGCCGGGCAUGGUGGCUCAUGCUUGUAAUCCCAGCAUUUUGGGAGGCUGAGGAGAAGGGCGAUCAUGAGGUCAGGAGUUCAAGACCAGCCUGGCCAACACAGUGAAACCCCAUCUCUACUAAAAAUACAAAAAUUAGCUGAGUGUGGUG
rnacentral:lncRNA from 10 species